UACGUAGGCAGCGAGCGUUGUUCGGAGUUACUGGGCGUAAAGGGUGUGUAGGCGGUUUUCUAAGUUUGGUGUGAAAUCUCCCGGCUCAACCGGGAGGGUGCGCCGAAAACUGGGAGACUAGAGUGCGGGAUGGGAGAGUAGAAUUCCUGGUGUAGCGGUGAAAUGCGUAGAUAUCAGGAGGAAUACCGGUGGUGUAGACGGCCCUCUGGACCGCCACUGACGCUGAGACACGAAAGCGUGGGUAGCAAACAGG
rnacentral:rRNA from 1 species